rnacentral:rRNA from 1 species
GAGUUUGAUCGUGGCUCAGAGCGAACGCUGGCGGCAGGCUUAACACAUGCAAGUCGUGGGGGGUAGCAAUACCCACCGGCGAACGGGUGCGUAACACGUGAGCAACAUUCCGAUUUCUGGGGGAUAGCCGGCCCAACGGCCGGGUAAUACCGCAUACGCUCAUCGAGAGGAGUCUCUCGGUGAGGAAACCUCCGGGGGAAAUCGAGUGGCUCGCGGCCUAUCAGCUAGUUGGCGGGGUAAUGGCCCACCAAGGCGAUGACGGGUAGCUGGUCUGAGAGGAUGGCCAGCCACAUUGGGACUGAGACACGGCCCAGACUCCUACGGGAGGCAGCAGUGGGGAAUAUUGCGCAAUGGGGGAAACCCUGACGCAGCGACGCCGCGUGGGUGAUGAAGGCCUUC